AGCGAACGCUGGCGGCAGGCCUAACACAUGCAAGUCGAACGAAGCCUUCAGGCUUAGUGGCGGACGGGUGAGUAACACGUGGGAACGUACCUUUUGGUUCGGAACAACUCAGGGAAACUUGAGCUAAUACCGGCUGAGGCCUUAGGGGGAAAGAUUUAUCGCCGAAAGAGCGGCCCGCGUUAGAUUAGCUAGUUGGUGAGGUAAAGGCUCACCAAGGAAACGAUCUAUAGACGGGCAGAGAGGAGGAUCAGCCACACUGGGACGAAGACCCGGCCCAGACUCCAACGGGAGGCAGCAGUAGGGAAUCUUGCGCAAUGGGCGAAAGCCUGACGCAGCCAUGCGGCUUGAAUGAUGAAGGUCUUAGGAUUGAAAAAUUCUUUUACCAGGGACGAUAAUGACGGUACCUGGAGAAAAAGCCCCGGCUAACUUCGUGCCAGCCGCCGCAGUAACAC
rnacentral:rRNA from 1 species